rnacentral:rRNA from 1 species
AUGGAUUUGUUUCUGCCACUCGUCUCAUUUAUUCUGAUUCUUGGAGGACAAGGUAGCCAGCAUGCGAGUUUUGCCGAUGCGGCCAAGAUGACGCUGACAAACAUGGAGACGCUGAUGGCGUACUGGGAGGCGGCGCUUCCAGGAAUUCCGAUUCCACCAGCUAUCAGCGACCUAUUAGCGCAACAAAAAGGUCAGUCUCUUUCCACGCAACUGCUAUGUGUUUUUCAAAAAGGGGAGUACCCCCAGCUCUGCAUUACAAGCUGCAUACAGCCACUUUAUUAA